UACGGGGGGGGGCAAGCGUUGUUCGGAAUUACUGGGCGUAAAGGGCGCGUAGGCGGCCUGCUAAGUCGGAUGUGAAAUCCCUCGGCUCAACCGAGGAACUGCAUCCGAUACUGGCGGGCUUGAAUCCGGGAGAGGGAUGUGGAAUUCCAGGUGUAGCGGUGAAAUGCGCAGAUAUCAGGAGGAACACCGAUGGCGAAGGCAGGUCUCUGGGCAUUAACUGACGCUGAGGAGCGAAAGCAUGGGGAGCGAACAGG
rnacentral:rRNA from 1 species